rnacentral:tRNA from 1 species
AGAAGCGUGCCCAGACAAGGAUUAUUUUGAUGAAAUAAACACAGACAAUAUGCUCUCACUUCUA